ensembl:ncRNA lncRNA:CR44453 long non-coding RNA:CR44453
UUUUAUGUUAUGUAAAGGAUGUGAAUUUACAAAAAACACACUAGUGUAUCUGCAGAACAAUAAACAUAAAUAAAUAAAUGGGCUUGUAAGGCUGUUUGCCAAAUUUGCUUGGGUCCACCACGUUUUUUUGAGCCCAUAAGACGACAAGAUUUCGUGUCCUUGAAUGUCCAGUAAGUUGUGCAGAAUCUUGCAAUUUGCUGGCUUACAUGGUAAAGGCAACAUGGGAGCUGGAGCAGCCGAUGCGGCUUGACCAUAAGCCGCUCCAUUUGCAUAAUUAUUCAUUGCGCAGCAUUAUGAGCAUAAAUAAAACGAUGCUCCACUGCACAGACACACAAACACACAAACACCACACACACACACAUACUCAGAAAGGAACAUGUGAGGAUAAUGCCUUGUGGGACAUUAUAAACCCUUGGCCCCAACUAUUUAUGGCCCACAUUACCCACUGAUGCACUUGCAAUCCGACUGCAGCUGACUGCAACGGAAUACCAAUUGAAAUAAUAGUGCAAGGGAAGAUCCAAUCAGCCGCAUAAAGAUUAACAACGCACCAAAGUCG